UUCUCAACAGGAGCAUUAUGACAUUUUGAGGACAAUUCUUGGCUAUGUGAGAUUAUCCAGUACAUUAAAGAAGGCUUAGAAUCAUUGGUCCUCUGACCUUUAAAUGCAAGGGUACAGUAGUAGUCCCCCCCCUUAUCUGUGGUUUCAUGUUCCAAGGUUUCAGUUAUCCACAGUCAACCACCAACCGGAAGCAGAUGAUCCUUCUUCUGACAAUAUUGUGAGAAGCCAAGAAGAACAGGAAGGCAGCCUUCUUGAGGAUUGGAAGCAGCUCAGCUGUCAGCGCUAAAGAGCCCAUCCACUAACCAGCAAUUCUACUGAGUGGUAUUCCCAGCCACAAGCCUGCAAACCAUCAGAAAAGAGAGGUCAUGUAUAGAAAAUCACUGAGUAGCUACCCAGCCACUCUAGAAGCUACUCUACAGUCCAUCAUCCCAUUUCCGCUGAUUCUAGUCCUGAAUUAAAGAGAAAAGGGGAUGGAAUACUACCAUGGUCAGACCAUUCACUUCAGGUUAUACCCCCAAAUCUACCUAUGUCCUUUCACAGAAGGCAACUUUUAACAUAAAAGCUUACAGUUUAAUAUUUUAGCACAUGAACAUAAAAUGUUUAUGACACUUUAAACAUGAAAGAGCAUUAUUUGUAACUGACCUCUUAUAAUUCUUACUGUCUGAGCAGAUAUCCACCUCCAAAAAGAACUAAAGAGAGAAAGACAGAGAGAGAUUUGAAGUGUUUUUUUUAAGUAACCCAAAUUUUAGCAAUUCCUGUUUUGCUCAGCAUAAUACAAAACUGAUAAUAAAGUAUCAUUUUUCUAGUCAAAUCUAUUAUUUAACUUAAAACAUACAGUUCAGUUGUUUAUUAUUUGUUCAAAUCUAUAAAUAAAAAACAUUACAUUCAAAGACUUUAUUUUUCAUGAGAAUAAUGAACAAUAAUCCAAGCUUACCAUUUCACAAGUGGCCUUUUCCAAUUGCAUACUUCGAUGAGCACAUUCCAACCUUAUGAUUUCCAAGAUUUCAUCAAAAAAGAUGCAGUUGGGAAGAAGAGAACCACUAGACUCCCUACAACUCAGUUAGGCUCUGAUUAUGUUUACAAAUGGUUUAUACCCAUGCACAAAGUUGGAAGCCAGGAAGAGGACGGAUCUCUCAUUAAAUUAAGUUCCUAAACCUCUAAGGGACCAAGGAGUCUCUACUAACUUCCCAAAUCCUGGGUUUUCCUUCUAUGCCACGGACUUAAAUGUAUCCAGGGUAAAAACUCUCAACUUUCAUUAUAACAAUCAUCUGUGGAGCUACUUAUUUAAAUUAAAAAGUUGUUUUUUAUUUGGAUAUGAUUGACACACAAUGUUACAUUAGUUUCAGGUCUGUGAAGCUUUUUAAAAACAUGGAUGUUUAAACUCCACCCCAGAUUGACAGAAUCAGAAUCACUGCUGGAGGCUCAGAAUAGAGUUCCACAGUUGACUGACAUUGAUAUAUAUCCAGGCUUGAGAACCACUGGUCUAUGGUGGAGAAGAAAUCCAGAACUUCUAAGGGAUGACCUUGAAUGACAAGUGACAGGAUUGGGGACUGUGCAGAUAUGUUAACUGGGAAAGCUGGAUUUGCCCAAUUAUGUAGUCUAAACUAGCAUUAUUCCCUACAAUUGGGUCUAGGGAAGGGGAGUGC